rnacentral:rRNA from 1 species
UACGGAGGGUGCAAGCGUUGCUCGGAAUUAUUGGGCGUAAAGGGUAGGUAGGUGGUCUCAUUUGUCUGGGGUGAAAGCCUUGAGCUUAACUCAAGAAGUGCCCCAGAAACGGUGAGACUGGAGUCCUGGAGAGGGUCGUGGAAUUCCCGGUGUAGCGGUGAAAUGCGUAGAGAUCGGGAGGAACACCAGUGGCGAAGGCGGCUCACUGGCCCGGUACUGACGCUGAGGUGCGAAAGCGUGGGGAGCAAACAGG